rnacentral:tRNA from 1 species
GGCGGAGGCUGUAAAGGAUAAUUUUGUUUGGAAUAACGGAAUCAUAAUCCGCGUGUCGGGGGUUCAAGUCCCUCCUCCGCUA